rnacentral:rRNA from 1 species
UCCAGACUCCUACGGGAGGCAGCAGUGGGGGAUAUUGCACAAUGGGGGAAACCCUGAUGCAGCGACGCCGCGUGAGUGAAGAAGUAUUUCGGUAUGUAAAGCCCUAUCAGCAGGGAAGAAGAUGACAGUACCUGAGCAAGAAGCCCCGGCUAACUACGUGCCAGCAGCCGCGGUAAUACGUAGGGGGCAAGCGUUAUCCGGAUUUACUGGGUGUAAAGGGAGCGUAGACGGUUAUGUAAGUCUGGAGUGAAAGCCCGGGGCCCAACCCCGGGACUGCUUUGGAAACUGUGUAACUAGAGUACAGGAGGGGCAGGCGGAAUUCCUGGUGUAGCGGUGAAAUGCGUAGAUAUCAGGAGGAACACCGGCGGCGAAGGCGGCCUGCUGGACUGAAACUGACGUUGAGGCUCGAAAGCGUGGGGAGCAAACAGGAUUAGAUACCCCUGUAAC